rnacentral:rRNA from 1 species
GAACCUGAAACCGUGUACGUACAAGCAGUAGGAGCCCCACCACCAAAGCGUUUCGCUUUGCGUGGUGCGCAAAAUGCGUAACGACAGCAUGAUGGACGGUUAACGGAGCGUAAGCGACGUUCAACAUCAAAAAUCAGGCAGUGGAGCGUUUUGGGGUGGGGUGACUGCGUACCUUUUGUAUAAUGGGUCAGCGACUUAUAUUCUGUAGCAAGGUUAACCGUAUAGGGGAGCCGCAGGGAAACCGAGUCUUAACUGGGCGUUAAGUUGCA